CCUUGCGUGGUGUAGUGGUAACGCGUCCCAAAUAAUAAACAGGGAGUCGUGAGUUCGAUUCUCACUGAGAGGA
rnacentral:tRNA from 1 species